ensembl:lncRNA
GUAGUGAAUAGCCAGUGGGUACAGGGAUGGGGUAGUAAUGAAUGGCCAGUGGGUACAGGGAUGAGGUAGUAGUGAAUAGCCAGUGGGUACAGGGAUGGGGUAGUAAUGAAUGGCCAGUGGGUACAGGGAUGGGGUAGUAAUGAAUGGCCAGUGGGUACAGGGAUGAGGUAGUAGUGAAUAGCCAGUGGGUACAGGGAUGGGGUAGUAAUGAAUGGCCAGUGGGUACAGGGAUGGAGUAGUAGUGAAUAGCCAGUGGGUACAGGGAUGAGGUUGUAGUGAAUGGCCAGUGGGUACAGGGAUGCAGUAUGUG